rnacentral:rRNA from 1 species
GCAUGUCUAAGUAUAAGCAAUUAUACAGCGAAACUGCGAAUGGCUCAUUAUAUAAGUUAUCGUUUAUUUGAUAGUACCUUACUACUUGGAUAACCGUGGUAAUUCUAGAGCUAAUACAUGCUAAAAAUCCCGACUUCGGAAGGGAUGUAUUUAUUAGAUUAAAAACCAAUGCCCUCUGGGCUCUCUGGUGAUUCAUGAUAACUUUUCGAAUCGCAUGGCCUUGCGCCGGCGAUGGCUCAUUCAAAUUUCUUCCCUAUCAACUUUCGAUGUUUGGGUAUUGGCCAAACAUGGUCGCAACGGGUAACGGAGGGUUAGGGCUCGACCCCGGAGAAGGAGCCUGAGAAACGGCUACUACAUCCAAGGAAGGCAGCAGGCGCGCAAAUUACCCAAUCCCGACACGGGGAGGUAGUGACAAUAAAUACUGAUACAGGGCUCUUUUGGGUCUUGUAAUUGGAAUGAGUACAAUUUAAAUCCCUUAACGAGGAACAAUUGGAGGGCAAGUCUGGUGCCAGCAGCCGCGGUAAUUCCAGCUCCAAUAGCGUAUAUUAAAGUUGUUGUGGUUAAAAAGCUCGUAGUUGAACCUUGGGCCUGGCUGGCCGGUCCGCCUCACCGCGUGUACUGGUCCGGCCGGGCCUUUCCCUCUGUGGAACCUCAUGCCCUUCACUGGGCGUGACGGGGAAACAGGACUUUUACUGUGAAAAAAUUAGAGUGCUCCAGGCAGGCCUAUGCUCGAAUACAUUAGCAUGGAAUAAUGAAAUAGGACGUGCGGUUCUAUUUUGUUGGUUUCUAGGACCGCCGUAAUGAUUAAUAGGGACAGUCGGGGGCAUCAGUAUUCAAUUGUCAGAGGUGAAAUUCUUGGAUUUAUUGAAGACUAACUACUGCGAAAGCAUUUGCCAAGGAUGUUUUCAUUAAUCAGGAACGAAAGUUAGGGGAUCGAAGACGAUCAGAUACCGUCGUAGUCUUAACCAUAAACUAUGCCGACUAGGGAUCGGACGAUGUAAAU